GGUCCUACGGGCGGCUGCAGUGGGGAAUAUUGCACAAUGGGGGAAACCCUGAUGCAGCGACGCCGCGUGGAGGAAGAAGGUCUUCGGAUUGUAAACUCCUGUUGUUGGGGAAGAUAAUGACGGUACCCAACAAGGAAGUGACGGCUAACUACGUGCCAGCAGCCGCGGUAAAACGUAGGUCACAAGCGUUGUCCGGAAUUACUGGGUGUAAAGGGAGCGCAGGCGGGAAGACAAGUUGGAAGUGAAAUCUAUGGGCUCAACCCAUAAACUGCUUUCAAAACUGUUUUUCUUGAGUAGUGCAGAGGUAGGCGGAAUUCCCGGUGUAGCGGUGGAAUGCGUAGAUAUCGGGAGGAACACCAGUGGCGAAGGCGGCCUACUGGGCACCAACUGACGCUGAGGCUCGAAAGUGUGGGUAGCAAACAGGAUUAGAUACCCGAGUAGUCGGC
rnacentral:rRNA from 1 species